UCGAGUUAGGGUCUCUCCGGCCCGACCUCCCAACCCUUUGUCUACCUGACCAUCCGUUGCUUCGGCGAGCCCGUCCUCACGGACCGCCGGGGGGGAUACCUCCACAGGCCCCCUCUGGCCCGCGUUCGUCGAUAGCCCCAUCUCCAAAAUCUUUAACUAAACGUGUCUCGAUCUAAGUACCACAUUUUAGAAUGUAAAAACA
rnacentral:misc_RNA from 1 species